rnacentral:rRNA from 1 species
UACGGGGGGGGCAAGCGUUGUUCGGAAUUACUGGGCGUAAAGGGCCAGUAGGCGGCCAACUAAGUCCGACGUGAAAUCCCAAGGCUUAACCUUGGAACUGCGUCGGAUACUGGAUGGCUUGAAUUCGGGAGAGGGAUGCAGGAAUUCCAGGUGUAGCGGUGAAAUGCGUAGAUAUCUGGAGGAAUACCGGUGGCGAAGGCGGCAUCCUGGACCGACAUUGACGCUGAACGGCGAAAGCUAGGGGAGCGAAACGGG